rnacentral:rRNA from 1 species
GUAUUAAAGGCAACGCUGCCCAGUGAAUAAUUAAACGGCCGCGGUAUCCUAACCGUGCAAAGGUAGCAUAAUCAUUUGUCUAUUAAUUGUAGACCUGUAUGAAAGGCAAAAUGAGAGCCCAACUGUCUCUUAUAACAAAUGAAUUAAACUGAUCUUCUAGUCCAAAAGCUAGAAUACCAACAUAAGACCAGAAGACCCUGUGAAGCUUUAACUAAACUAUUAAACCCAAUAAUAGCUACUUUCGGUUGGGGCGACCUUGGAAUAAAAAGAAACUUCCAACAUAUGACUCCUCAUAAAACAAGGCAGACAAGCCACACAAGACCCAGUAUUACUGAUAAUUGAAAUAAGUUACUCCAGGGAUAACAGCGCUAUCUUCUUUUAGAGCCCAUAUCAAAAAGAAGGUUUACGACCUCGAUGUUGGAUCAGGACAUCCCAGUAAUGCAACCGUUACUAAAGGUUCGUUUGUUCAACGAUUAACAGUCCUACGUGAUCUCAG